rnacentral:rRNA from 1 species
CACGUAGGGUGCGAGCGUUAAUCGGAAUUACUGGGCGUAAAGCGUGCGCAGGCGGUUUGUUAAGACAGAUGUGAAAUCCCCGGGCUUAACCUGGGAACUGCAUUUGUGACUGGCAAGCUAGAGUAUGGCAGAGGGGGGUAGAAUUCCACGUGUAGCAGUGAAAUGCGUAGAGAUGUGGAGGAAUACCGAUGGCGAAGGCAGCCCCCUGGGCCAAUACUGACGCUCAUGCACGAAAGCGUGGGGAGCAAACAGG